GUGGUGCCGGCGUGCACUGCGCACAUGUGUAAACCCCAAAGGCGAAGACAACUCGAACACACUAUGUCAGAGGAUUACGGGUUCGGCAAGGGCGCAAGCCUUCGUCGGGCCCCUCCAUCCUGGGGUGUCCCGCUACCGGGCUACGGCCCGAGUGGGCAUCCCUCGAGUGCGUAGGAUGCGACCCGAAAGAUGGUGAACUAUGCCUGAUCAGGCCGAAGUCAGGGGAAACCCUGAUGGAGGGCCGAAGCAAUUCUGACGUGCAAAUCGAUUGUCAGAGUUGGGCAUAGGGGCGAAAGACCAAUC
rnacentral:rRNA from 1 species